UACAGAGGGUGCGAGCGUUGUCCGGAAUCACUGGGCGUAAAGGGCGCGUAGGUGGUGACCUAAGCGUGCGGUGAAAGCCCGAGGCUCAACCUCGGGUCGGCCGUGCGAACUGGGUCACUGGAGCAGAAUAGAGGCAGGUGGAAUUCCGGGUGUAGCGGUGGAAUGCGUAGAGAUCCGGAAGAACACCGAUGGCGAAGGCAGCCAUCUGGACCGACACUGACGCUGAGGCGCGAAAGCGUGGGGAGCAAACAGG
rnacentral:rRNA from 1 species